GCCAGGCUAGCUCAGUCGGUAGAGCAUGAGACUCUUAAUCUCAGGGUAGUGGGUCCCUGCCCNGUA
rnacentral:tRNA from 1 species